AUCUAUUUAGUAUAAUAAAGUAUAUAAAGCUUCCAACUUUAAGGUCUUAAUUAGAGUAGAUA
rnacentral:tRNA from 1 species